rnacentral:rRNA from 1 species
UCUUGACAUCCACAGAACUUUCCAGAGAUGGAUUGGUGCCUUCGGGAACUGUGAGACAGGUGCUGCAUGGCUGUCGUCAGCUCGUGUUGUGAAAUGUUGGGUUAAGUCCCGCAACGAGCGCAACCCUUAUCCUUUGUUGCCAGCGGUCCGGCCGGGAACUCAAAGGAGACUGCCAGUGAUAAACUGGAGGAAGGUGGGGAUGACGUCAAGUCAUCAUGGCCCUUACGACCAGGGCUACACACGUGCUACAAUGGCGCAUACAAAGAGAAGCGACCUCGCGAGAGCAAGCGGACCUCAUAAAGUGCGUCGUAGUCCGGAUUGGAGUCUGCAACUCGACUCCAUGAAGUCGGAAUCGCUAGUAAUCGUGGAUCAGAAUGCCACGGUGAAUACGUUCCCGGGCCUUGUACACACCGCCCGUCACACCAUGGGAGUGGGUUGCAAAAGAAGUAGGUAGCUUAACCUUCGGGAGGGCGCUUACCACUUUGUGAUUCAUGACUGGGGUGAAGUCGUAACAAGGUAACCGUAGGGGAACCUGCGGUUGGA